UUCUCCUGCUUUCCCUGUGACUGCGUGGCUUUCCUCCAGAUGUUCCGUUGUCCUAAAGACAUGCGGGCUUGUCGGUUCAUUGGCCCACUGGAAAUUGCCCCCCGGUGUGUCAAAGUGAAUGGGAAAGUGGGAUAGCAUAGAGCUAGCAUGAUCGGGCGAUCGAUAGUCGGCCAUGGACUCGGAAGGCCUGUUUCCAUGCUGUG